CACUGGCACAACUUUGGUUUUUAGGCUCUUAUGCCAUUUAUUUUAAUUGCCCAGACAUCAAUUCCAUCUAAAUUCUUAGUUAUAGCCUGGUUCCUUGAAUUUGCUGGAUUAGUAACCACAGGUUAAGGCGUUUCAAUAGUUAAGACAGGACUUUGGAACAAGAGUUUUUAAAUUGUAUAAUACUUGAGAGGAUCUAUGAAUAUAAAUUGGGUCCUGUUUAUAAUUAGUUUUACAUAGUGAACUUUAAGAUUGCCUUUUCAUGGUUAACAGAAGUUUGGAAAUUACUGUUUUGGCACAAAGCAGAUUAUCUUAAUAGAAAUACAGAAUUACUGCAAUCUGUGAACAAGACUGCUUUUAAAUAUUUCUACUUGUGUGCUAUCUUAAAUAUAGAAUGUGUACGACAGUUCCAAAUUUUAGAAUAAAUCCAUUUCUAGCAUCUAACAAAAUCUGAUACUGUAUCAUUUUAAAACAAAGUGUUUACUUUAGGCAGGAUUUCUUAAAAUAAAGCAGCAACACCCACGCAGAUAAGACAAAAAAGCUAAAAUAUCUCACACCUCCUAAUCCUGGAGUGCAAUCUUUUUUCCUCAUCCUUUUUGAUAGGGCCAAACUUGUGUCUACAGUAAAAAAAAAAGAAUUACUAACUGGCAACCAUUAAGAUUCUAUACUUACCAUAGUCCUUUAAUAGGCAAGCUGAUAAAAUAGCCCCCAGUUAUUAAAAAAAAAAAAAAUCCAAGGAAAACCCCCAAUAAUUAGUCUUAUCUCCAAAUUGCAGGAAGUCUCCUAUAUCUGAAACUUAAAAAUGAUUCUAAUGACUUCCUCUAUCAGUAAUGUGGUAUCACUGAGGUGGGUGAUGGGGAGGGAAGAGGGAAGAAAUCUGUCAAUAUUACCUUCAAACUCAGAAAUGUUUAAAAAAAAGUCUCAAACAUUUUGAUAGUUAGACAGAACACCUCCACUGUUAUGUAUGGUCUUCCUUUUUCGAAACUUACGAACUUGCUAUGUGAGCUUCUGCAAAUCGGUUCAAAAGCACAUUUAAGGAGUUGAUAAUUUAAGACUAUAUGAAUCAGAAUUUUAACACUCCAUUAAAAGAGCUGAAAUUUUUGGCAUAUAUCUUCAGAACACCUAAAAAACAGACUGCAAAUUCAACUCACAUUAAUACUAAAUCUCUUUAAAAUUAACUAUAUCAUAAAAGACAAUGACUUUGUCACUAAACUAAGUUUUAAAAAAGGUGGCAUUCUCAUGUUUCAGUCCCAUGCUGCCAUUUGAGAUGAAAAAAAGGCAACUGUCAGAAUUUUAAUUGUGAUCAGUUUGGACGGCUGGUACUUGGUACUUUCUCACAAUCCAAAUUAGUAAACUUGAAAACUCAAACCAAUUUUUGCUUUUAGAAUUAAAUUCUUGUUGAGUUUUUCAAUCUUGUACUACAAAGCCUUAUGGAUUAGAUUCAUUUCUUUCUCUCACAAGAUCAUCCCAACCGGGCUCCAUUUCAGUUGUGGCAACCCGAAACAGGGCUUGGAGAUGCUCAUCUGUCAAUGGCUGACUCAAAGUGUGUUGGUUUCGAGUCAAAUAUGAAAAAGCCUUUUCACAGAUUUGGUUACUAUCAAACAAGGAUGCCACCUUACAGGCAACCCCUUUGAUAAUUGGGUAGGAUUCAGCAGACAAUCCAGCAUAAAACUGCCCCAAGUCUUUGACUCUGUAUUCAUUCCAAAGAUUAGUGUUUGCCUGAAGUUUUGUUAGCUCCACCCUCACUGAAAUAGGUGCAUAUUCAGGUUUAAAGUUAAAUGGAUUUGAAAAAAGUUCUAAGUCCUUUUUAAUGAACCUGAGGUCCUUAAAAUGUCUCUCAAAUUCUUUUUGGAGACGACAGAUCACCAUUUGAUACCUAUCAGGAUCAAAUAUUUUUUGAUCUUCCUUAUUUUGCUGUUUUAGCUCAUCAACAACUUCUCUGAGGGCAGGAAAGUCUGUUAGAUUUUUUUCCUCAAUAUGUCUUUGAAAUAAAUUCAGCUUAACUUCGAAAGUACAAAUAUGGUCAAAGGCAGCAGCAGCAAAGACUUUACUAACUUGUAAUUCUUCACUGAGUUCUCGAAGGUGUUCCAUAAUGUCCACCAAGAAGCCAAAGUCACAAAGCCAUUGUUUGUCUGAGAAGUGGACUGUUGUUGCCCCUACUGAAACCAAGAACGCUUCCAUUUCUUUUCUUAGCGAGAAUAUUAGUUUUAAAGUCUUCCCUCUCCUAAGCCAAUUGUUCAGACAUCGUCCAUUAACCCUUUCGCCAUGCUCUGAUUCAGAUUCAGUUAGUAGAGUCUGAAAUUCAGGUCGUCUAACGCCUCUGGUCUUAAUCAAAACUAUCCAUUCGGAUAUGGUAUUUAUGAUCUGAUUAACAUCUACAUCAUAGGAGCUCAACAGUUCCAAGUGAAGAAAUCCUGAAUAAUGAAUGACAUUCCAACAGUUGGGGCUUACGGCCUUUUCUCUCAUGUAUGAGACGAGUCCUGAGUUCUCACCAAUCAUCCUCAAAGUAUGCGUCGUGGUCAGUCCAACCAUUCUCUGCAAGCUAAGCCCUGCUGUCUGCAGGGCCUCUAGGAUUGCCGACAUGAGCGCACCAACACUGAAAUGAUGAGUCAGGUUGAUUAUGGUCAGAAGAUCUUCUUGCACCUCCAACUCAGGGCCUACACCGCGGAUAAAGACCAGGAGGUAGUUCUCAUAGGCCACAAAAGCCUGGUCGUCCAAGGCAAGAGAAUAGGCUUUAAAGUCCCUGGCUCGGUUAAAAAGCUGGUUGCGUAGAUUCCUGUCAAUGCUCAGGAUCCUCUGCCUCGUGAUCUCUGGAGAUAAGUCAACGCCUUGCAAGACGCUUACAUGCUCGGGCAGUACCUCUCUCAGCAAUACCUCCAUGCACUGGUAUACAAAGUCCCCCUCACCCCAGCCGCGACCCUUCAAGGCCAAGAGGCGGCAGAGCCCGAGGCCUGCACGAGCAGCUCUCUCUUCAGGAGUGAAGGAGGCCACGGGCAAGUCGCCCUGACGCAGACGCUCCACCAGGGCCGCGCGCUCGCCGUCCGCCACAUACCGCUCGUAGUAUUCGUGCUCAGCCUCGUAGUGGCGCCUGACGUCGCGUUCGCGGGUAGCUACGAUGAGGCGGCGACAGACCAGGCACAGGGCCCCAUCGCCCUCCGGAGGCUCCACCACCAAAUAACGCUGGGUCCACUCGGGCCGGAAAACUAGAGCCUCGUCGACUUCCAUCUUGCUUCUUUUGGGCGUCAUCCACAUUCUGCGGGAGGCCACAAGAGCAGGGCCAACGUUGGAAAGGCCGCAAGAGGAGAGGAGGAGCCUGAGAAGCGCCAAGCACCUCCUCCGCUCUG
rnacentral:lncRNA from 1 species